GCCAGGGUGGCUCAGUCGGUUGAGCAUCUGACUUCGGCUCAGGUCACGAUCUCACGGUUCGUGAGUUCGAGCCCCGCGCUGGGCU
rnacentral:tRNA from 1 species